AUUGAACGCUGGCGGCAGGCCUAACACAUGCAAGUCGAACGAGACGUGUGCGUGUUGGUACUGUCUGUGAAACUGCCUGAUGGAGGAGUAUACCUAAUGGCAACGGUAGCCACUACCGCAUACCAUCGGAUGUGCCCAGAUGGGAGUAGCUAGUGGGUGGGGUAAAGGCGCACCUAGGAGACGAUCCGUAGCUGGUCUGAGAGGAUGACCAGCCACCCUGGGACUGAGACACGGUCCAGACGCCGACGGGAGGCAGCAGUGGGGAAUAUUGGAAAAUGGGGGAAAGCCUGAUGCAGCCAUGCCGCGUGUAUGAAGAAGGCCUUCGGGUUGUAAAGUACUUUCGGCGGGGAGGCGUUACCCGCAGAAGAAGCACCGGCUAACUCCGUGCCAGCAGCCGCGGUAAUAC
rnacentral:rRNA from 1 species